UACGUAGGGUGCAAGCGUUGUCCGGAAUUAUUGGGCGUAAAGAGCUCGUAGGCGGUCUGUCGCGUCUGCUGUGAAAACUCAGGGCUUAACCCUGAGCUUGCAGUGGGUACGGGCAGACUAGAGUGCGGUAGGGGAGACUGGAAUUCCUGGUGUAGCGGUGAAAUGCGUAGAUAUCUGGAGGAACACCGGUGGCGAAGGCGGCAUCCUGGACCGGUAUUGACGCUGAGGCGGCGAAAAGCUGAGGGGAGCAAAC
rnacentral:rRNA from 1 species